GAUCUUUCAUUUAACAAUUUUACAAUUGAAAAACCGAAAUUAUCAUCUUCAAAUUGUCGAGAAGGGGAUCGCCGGAUCAACUUGUUCAAGAGCUCUUCGAUGGGCAAUGACAUCAUUCUUUCGUGUUCGGAGACUAGCUUACCACGUUGUUCAC